rnacentral:rRNA from 1 species
AUUGAACGCUGGCGGAAUGCUUUACACAUGCAAGUCGAACGGUAGAGGGGGCAACCCCUCGAGAGUGGCGAACGGGUGAGUAAUAUAUCGGAACGUGCCCAGUCGUGGGGGAUAACGUAGCGAAAGUUACGCUAAUACCGCAUACGAUCUACGGAUGAAAGCGGGGGAUCGCAAGACCUCGCGCGAUUGGAGCGGCCGAUAUCAGAUUAGGUAGUUGGUGGGGUAAAGGCUCACCAAGCCAACGAUCUGUAGCUGGUCUGAGAGGACGACCAGCCACACUGGAACUGAGACACGGUCCAGACUCCUACGGGAGGCAGCAGUGGGGAAUUUUGGACAAUGGACGCAAGUCUGAUCCAGCCAUUCCGCGUGCAAGGAUGAAGGCCCUCGGGUUGUAAACCGCUUUUGUCAGGGAAGAAACGCUCUGAGUUAAUACCUCGGGGUAAUGACGGUACCUGAAGAAUAAGCACCGGCUAACUACGUG